AUACGUAGGUGGCAAGCGUUGUCCGGAAUUAUUGGGCGUAAAGCGCGCGCAGGUGGUUCCUUAAGUCUGAUGUGAAAGCCCCCGGCUCAACCGGGGAGGGUCAUUGGAAACUGGGGAACUUGAGUGCAGAAGAGGAUAGUGGAAUUCCAAGUGUAGCGGUGAAAUGCGUAGAGAUUUGGAGGAACACCAGUGGCGAAGGCGACUGUCUGGUCUGUAACUGACACUGAGGCGCUAAAGCGUGGGGAGCAAACAGGAUUAGAUACCCUGGUAGUCCACGCCGUAAACGAUGAGUGCUAAGUGUUGGGGGGUUUCCGCCCCUCAGUGCUGCAGCUAACGCAUUAAGCACUCCGCCUGGGGAGUACGGUCGCAAGACUGAAACUCAAAUGAAUUGACGGGG
rnacentral:rRNA from 1 species